ACGUCAAAUCCAUGCGCUAUUAACGCAUGAACCUUCCUCACUGCUGAAAGUACUUACAACCAAGGCCUUCUUCAUACACGCGGCAUGGCUGCAUCAGGCUUGCGCCCAUUGUGCAAUAUUCCCC
rnacentral:rRNA from 1 species